rnacentral:rRNA from 1 species
UACGUAGGGUGCGAGCGUUGUCCGGAAUUACUGGGCGUAAAGAGCUCGUAGGUGGUUUGUCGCGUUGUUCGUGAAAUCCCACGGCUUAACUGUGGGCGUGCGGGCGAUACGGGCGGACUGGAGUACUGCAGGGGAGACUGGAAUUCCUGGUGUAGCGGUGGAAUGCGCAGAUAUCAGGAGGAACACCGGUGGCGAAGGCGGGUCUCUGGGCAGUAACUGACGCUGAGGAGCGAAAGCGUGGGGAGCGAACAGG